ACGACGCUGGCGGCGUGCUUAACACAUGCAAGUCGAGCGAUGAAGCUUCCUUCGGGAAGUGGAUUAGCGGCGGACGGGUGAGUAACACGUGGGUAACCUGCCUCAAAGUGGGGGAUAGCCUUCCGAAAGGAAGAUUAAUACCGCAUAAUAUAAGAGAAUCGCAUGAUUUUCUUAUCAAAGAUUUAUUGCUUUGAGAUGGACCCGCGGCGCAUUAGCUAGUUGGUAAGGUAACGGCUUACCAAGGCAACGAUGCGUAGCCGACCUGAGAGGGUGAUCGGCCACAUUGGAACUGAGACACGGUCCAGACUCCUACGGGAGGCAGCAGUGGGGAAUAUUGCGCAAUGGGGGAAACCCUGACGCAGCAACGCCGCGUGGGUGAUGAAGGUCUUCGGAUUGUAAAGCCCUGUUUUCUAGGACGAUAAUGACGGUACUAGAGGAGGAAGCCACGGCUAACUACGUGCCAGCAGCCGCGGUAAUACGUAGGUGGCGAGCGUUGUCCGGAUUUACUGGGCGUAAAGGGUGCGUAGGCGGAUGUUUAAGUGGGAUGUGAAAUCCCCGGGCUUAACCUGGGGGCUGCAUUCCAAACUGGAUAUCUAGAGUGCAGGAGAGGAAAGCGGAAUUCCUAGUGUAGCGGUGAAAUGCGUAGAGAUUAGGAAGAACACCAGUGGCGAAGGCGGCUUUCUGGACUGUAACUGACGCUGAGGCACGAAAGCGUGGGUAGCAAACAGGAUUAGAUACCCUGGUAGUCCACGCCGUAAACGAUGGAUACUAGGUGUAGGGGGUAUCAACUCCCCCUGUGCCGCAGUUAACACAAUAAGUAUCCCGCCUGGGGAGUACGGUCGCAAGAUUAAAACUCAAAGGAAUUGACGGGGGCCCGCACAAGCAGCGGAGCAUGUGGUUUAAUUCGAAGCAACGCGAAGAACCUUACCUGGACUUGACAUCCCUUGCAUAGCCUAGAGAUAGGUGAAGCCCUUCGGGGCAAGGAGACAGGUGGUGCAUGGUUGUCGUCAGCUCGUGUCGUGAGAUGUUAGGUUAAGUCCUGCAACGAGCGCAACCCUUGUUAUUAGUUGCUACCAUUAAGUUGAGCACUCUAAUGAGACUGCCUGGGUAACCAGGAGGAAGGUGGGGAUGACGUCAAAUCAUCAUGCCCCUUAUGUCCAGGGCUACACACGUGCUACAAUGGUAGGUACAAUAAGACGCAAGACCGUGAGGUGGAGCAAAACUUAUAAAACCUAUCUCAGUUCGGAUUGUAGGCUGCAACUCGCCUACAUGAAGCUGGAGUUGCUAGUAAUCGCGAAUCAGAAUGUCGCGGUGAAUACGUUCCCGGGCCUUGUACACACCGCCCGUCACACCAUGAGAGCUGGUAACACCCGAAGUCCGUGAGGUAACCGUAAGGAGCCAGCGGCCGAAGGUGGGAUUAGUGAUUGGGGUGAAGUCGUAACAAGGUAGCCGUAGAG
rnacentral:rRNA from 1 species